rnacentral:lncRNA from 1 species
GUCAUUGCUUAGACUUGGGUUUUGUUUAGAUUAAAGUUUGUCAUAGUUGCAACUCGCGGACUUCGUUUGUGUCCAAUGGUCAGACCAAUACUUCUAAGGACACCACUUCCAUUAAUAAAGCUUUAAUCUUAAUUUGCAGUAUCGAGAUUGCAAUAUUAGUUCAUUCUUGUCCUUUGUUUGCAUGCAUGAUCCUCUAGUAGGUUUAGUGUAGCUAGUACCUCGUGGUUAGGUCGAUCGUGCUCUGGUGUGGUUAAUAACCUCUUGGAGUUGGUUG